GAUGAAGAACGUAGCGAAAUGCGAUAAGUAGUGUGAAUUGCAGAAUUCAGUGAAUCAUCGAAUCUUUGAACGCACAUUGCGCCCCUUGGUAUUCCAUGGGGCAUGCCUGUUCGAGCGUCAUUUGUACCUUCAAGCUCUGCUUGGUGUUGGGUGUUUGUCUCGCCUCUGCGUGUAGACUCGCCUCAAAACAAUUGGCAGCCGGCGUAUUGAUUUCGGAGCGCAGUACAUCUCGCGCUUUGCACUCAUAACGACGACGUCCAAAAGUACAUUUUUACACUCUUGACCUCGGAUCAGGUAGGGAUACCCGCUGAACUUAAGCAUAUAAUAAGCGGAGGA
rnacentral:misc_RNA from 1 species